GGGUCGGGGAAGAAGAGUGGAGGCUGCAUGUUAAUUGUACUUCAUCAGGUGCUCUGGUGAACUCGAUACCCGGCACCUGUUGGAGCGCAAUUCAUAUGACUGUGCCUUGCUGC
rnacentral:pre_miRNA from 1 species